GACGAACGCUGGCGGCGUGCUUAACACAUGCAAGUCGAACGGAAAGGCCCUGCUUUUGUGGGGUGCUCGAGUGGCGAAGGGGUGAGUAACACGUGAGUAACCUGCCCUUGACUUUGGGAUAACUUCAGGAAACUGGGGCUAAUACCGGAUAGGAGCUCCUGAUGCAUGGUGGGGGUUGGAAAGUUUCGGCGGUUGGGGAUGGAUUCGCGGCUUAUCAGCUUGUUGGGGGGGUAGUGGCUUACCAAGGUUUUGACGGGUAGCCGGCCUGAGAGGGUGACCGGCCACAUUGAGACUGAGAUAGGGCGCAGACGCCUACGUGAGGCAGCGGUGGGGAAUAUUGCGCAAUGGGCGGAAGUCUGAUGCAGCGACGCCGCGUGCGGGAUGACGGCCUUCGGGUUGUAAACCGCUGUCGCCUGUGACGAAGCGGGAGUGACGGUAAUGGGUAAAGAAGCACCGGCUAACUACGUG
rnacentral:rRNA from 1 species